UACGUAGGGUGCAAGCGUUAUCCGGAAUUAUUGGGCGUAAAGAGCUCGUAGGCGGUUUGUCACGUCUGCUGUGAAAACUGGAGGCUCAACCUCCAGCCUGCAGUGGAUACGGGCAGACUAGAGUGCGGUAGGGGAGAUUGGAAUUCCUGGUGUAGCGGUGGAAUGCGCAGAUAUCAGGAGGAACACCGAUGGCGAAGGCAGAUCUCUGGGCCGUAACUGACGCUGAGGAGCGAAAGCAUGGGGAGCGAACAGG
rnacentral:rRNA from 1 species